rnacentral:rRNA from 1 species
AUUGAACGCUGGCGGCAUGCCUUACACAUGCAAGUCGAACGGCAGCGAACCUUCGGGUGUCGGCGAGUGGCGAACGGGUGAGUAAAGUAUCGGAACGUACCAUUCAGUGGGGGAUAACGUAGCGAAAGUUACGCUAAUACCGCAUAUUCUGUGAGCAGGAAAGCAGGGGAUCGCAAGACCUUGCACUGAUUGAGCGGCCGAUAUCAGAUUAGCUAGUUGGUGAGGUAAAGGCUCACCAAGGCGACGAUCUGUAGCGGGUCUGAGAGGAUGAUCCGCCACACUGGGACUGAGACACGGCCCAGACUCCUACGGGAGGCAGCAGUGGGGAAUUUUGGACAAUGGGGGGCAACCCUGAUCCAGCCAUGCCGCGUGAGUGAAGAAGG